UGAACGCUGGCGGCGUGCUUAACACAUGCACGUCGAACGAUGAAGCCCAGCUUGCUGGGUGGAUUAGUGGCGAACGGGUGAGUAACACGUGAGUAACCUGCCCUUAACUCUGGGAUAAGCCUGGGAAACUGGGUCUAAUACCGGAUAGGAGCGCCUACCGCAUGGUGGGUGUUGGAAAGAUUUAUCGGUUUUGGAUGGACUCGCGGCCUAUCAGCUUGUUGGUGAGGUAAUGGCUCACCAAGGCGACGACGGGUAGCCGGCCUGAGAGGGUGACCGGCCACACUGGGACUGAGACACGGCCCAGACUCCUACGGGAGGCAGCAGUGGGGAAUAUUGCACAAUGGGCGAAAGCCUGAUGCAGCGACGCCGCGUGAGGGAUGACGGCCUUCGGGUUGUAAACCUCUUUCAGUAGGGAAGAAGCGAAAGUGACGGUACCUGCAGAAGAAGCACCGGCUAACUACGUG
rnacentral:rRNA from 1 species